rnacentral:tRNA from 1 species
GGCCGAUUAGCUCAGUGGUUUGAGCGCGGUGCUGAGAGCAAUGACCAACACCGAGGUCACGAAAUCGCAGGUUCGAUUCCCGCUCGGUCC